AUCGCUUCUUGGCCUUUUGGCUAAGAUCAAGUGUGGUAUCUGUUCUUACCAGUUUAAUAAGAGCUGAAAUAGUAACUGAAUUUUUUGUUUUUGUUUUUUUUAGAGAGAGAGUGAGAGAACGCAC
ensembl:snRNA U2 U2 spliceosomal RNA